AUUGAACGCUGGCGGCAGGCUUAACACAUGCAAGUCGAGCGGGGGAAGGUAGCUUGCUACUGGACCUAGCGGCGGACGGGUGAGUAAUGCUUAGGAAUCUGCCCAUCAGUGGGGGACAACAUCUCGAAAGGGAUGCUAAUACCGCAUACGUCCUACGGGAGAAAGCAGGGGAUCACUUGUGACCUUGCGCUAAUAGAUGAGCCUAAGUCGGAUUAGCUAGUUGGUGGGGUAAAGGCCUACCAAGGCGACGAUCUGUAGCGGGUCUGAGAGGAUGAUCCGCCACACUGGGACUGAGACACGGCCCAGACUCCUACGGGAGGCAGCAGUGGGGAAUAUUGGACAAUGGGGGGAACCCUGAUCCAGCCAUGCCGCGUGUGUGAAGAAGGCCUUAUGGUUGUAAAGCACUUUAAGCGAGGAGGAGGCUCUUUUGGUUAAUACCCAAGAUGAGUGGACGUUACUCGCAGAAUAAGCACCGGCUAACUCUGUGCCAGCAGCCGCCGUAA
rnacentral:rRNA from 1 species